AUUUACUUGAUUUGGAAGCCAUGGACAUGACAGGUUUGUGCAUCGCGCUGCUCUUCCUUGCUGUUAAGGGAAAUCCAAAGCGGCAUACACCCAAAAAGGGCUUCGGUGUCGUUCCAUAGGUUGAAUCGAUCGUAGUCCUUCGACUUCGCGAGCGAAAGUUAUAACCACUGUCCCACCCUGCCGUCCUAACUAAUAGGUGCAGUCACAUAUCCUACCCUUCACGUAGAUGGUGAAGCUCAUCUUGGACAACCAACAUCUUUACGCUGCACCUGUGACUGGCCAAUAACUUUGAGAGAUCCUGAAGGCACAGCCGUCCUGCAGUGUAUAUCGACAAGCAACUGCCUAAGUAAUAGGCCAGGGUAUAUAUCUUUGGAUAGAGAUAAAAGUGAGGGAGGGACGUAUGUAGCAGUCAUAAAUGAAACAAGGACAGGAGAUGAAGGAGAAUGGAGAUGUCAGUGUGGCAACCAAGAGGCAAAGGCCACGCUACGUAUACAGCGCACGACAUCCAUGGAUCUGACUACUCCAGAACCCAAAAGGGCACCUGCUUAUCCUACUCUAAAAGUUGAUGACAGUCCAAUCCUUGGACAACCAACAUCUUUACGCUGCACCUGUGACUGGCCAAUAACUUUGAGAGAUCCUGAAGGCACAGCCGUCCUGCAGUGUAUAUCGACAAGCAACUGCCUAAGUAAUAGGCCAGGGUAUAUAUCUUUGGAUAGAGAUAAAAGUGAGGGAGGGACGUAUGUAGCAGUCAUAAAUGAAACAAGGACAGGAGAUGAAGGAGAAUGGAGAUGUCAGUGUGGCAACC
rnacentral:misc_RNA from 1 species